rnacentral:rRNA from 1 species
ACGGGUGAGUAAUGUCUGGGAAACGUGCCUGAUGGAGGGGGGUAACUACUGGAAACGGUAGCUAAUACCGCAUAACGUCGCAAGACCAAAGAGGGGGACCUUCGGGCCUCUUGCCAUCGGAUGUGCCCAGAUGGGAUUAGCUAGUAGGUGGGGUAACGGCUCACCUAGGCGACGAUCCCUAGCUGGUCUGAGAGGAUGACCAGCCACACUGGAACUGAGACACGGUCCAG